AUCGAUUUACAGGAACACGAAGAACAUUUGCACACGGUCCUCGCCCUGCUGCGGGCGCACCAGCUCUACGCCAAGGCCUCCAAGUGUUCGUUCGCGCAGCAGGAAAUCGAGUACCUCGGGCACGUCAUCUCCAAGAACGACGUCGCCACUGAUGCCAGCAAGACCAGCACCAUGAGUGCGUGGCCUGUGCCCACGACGCCCACCGAGCUCUGUGGCUUCCUCAGCCUCACAGGCUACUACCGCAAGUUCGUGCCACACUAUGGCAUUAUUGCGAAGCCUCUGACGCGCCUCCUCACCAAGAAAGGAUUUCUCCGGGAUGACAAGGCACAAACCGCGUUCGAGCUGCUGAAGAAGGCGAUGGUGAGCACGCCCGUGCUGGCGCUUCCUGACUUCAAGCGUCUGUUCGUCAUCGAAACUGACGCGUGCGACACCGGCGUUGGCGCCGUACUGAUGCAGGACGGCCACCCCGUCGCGUACCUGAGCAAGGCGCUGGGCGUGUGGAAUCAGAAGCUCUCGGCGUACGAGAAGGAAUUUCUCGCGGUGAUGAUGGCAAUCGACAAGUGGCGCCCAUAUCUCCAGUGUGCACCAUUCGAGAUCGUCACCGAUCACAAUAGCUUGUGUUCCUUGGGCGAUCAGCAGCUCGUCAUGGAUCUGCAGCGCAAGGCGAUGUCCAAGAUGGUGGGACUGCAGUUCACGUUCCGCUACAAGAAGGGCACGGACAACGGCGCGGCCGACGCGCUCUCUCGAGUGGGGCACUUACUGGCCCUCAACGCGCUCUCGGUGUGCCAGCCCCAGUGGCUCCAGGAAGUGGCCAAUUCGUACGAGACGGAUGCGGACGCCCAGGAACUGCUCGCCAAGUUGACCCUCUGCGACACCGACGAACAAGGCCGCACUCUGCAGCAAGGGGUGAUCCGCCAGUGCUGGCGGCUCUGGAUCGGCGCCAACACCGCGCUCCAAACCAAGCUGAUCGCCGCGCUCCAC
rnacentral:rRNA from 1 species